rnacentral:rRNA from 1 species
GACAGAGGGUGCAAACGUUGUUCGGAAUUACUGGGCGUAAAGCGCGCGCAGGCGGUCUUCCAAGUCAGUGGUGAAAGCCCGGAGCUCAACUCCGGAACUGCCAUUGAAACUGUGAGACUUGAGGAUGAGAGAGGUGAGUGGAAUUCCCAGUGUAGAGGUGAAAUUCGUAGAUAUUGGGAAGAACACCGGUGGCGAAGGCGGCUCACUGGCUCAUUACUGACGCUCAGGCGCGACAGCGUGGGGAUCAAACAGG